rnacentral:miRNA from 1 species
AACGUCGAUAUUCGACGUCAUCAAAAUGAUCAACUUUGGUGUUUAUGAUGUCGAUAUUCGAAGACAUAAACACGACCAACUUUUGUGUUUAUGACGUCGAUAUACGACGUCAUAAACACGAUCAACUUUGGUGUAUAUAACGUCGAUAUUCGACGUCAUAAACACGAUCAACUUUGGUGUUUAUGACGUCGAUAUUCGAAGACAUAAACACGAUCAACUUUGGUGUUGAUGACGUCGAUAUUCGACGUC